UUGCGGCCAGAUCAUUUUGAAACACCGGUUCCCGUACGAUCACCGAGGUUAAGCAACGUCGUGCAUGGUCAGUACCUAGAUGCGUGACCGCUUGAAAG